UGGAGAGAUCUCCUGGCCAUCCUUUAGCCACUGCACAUCUCCUUUGGGCUUGUUGAUUUCACAUCGCAGGGAUUUUCAUCCCAUCCUUGUACCAUUUCGACAGGAGCAGAGGGGUCAUGAGAGAGUUCACAGCUGAGGACAAUGGGAUCACCUUCCUGGACACAUUUGUUCCGCAAACUGAAUGUCAUCAUCCUUUGACUCACAACGGUAUAUGCCAGUGUGAACUUGCUCUGCUGAUGGGACAACUAGACUU